UACGUAGGGUGCGAGCGUUAAUCGGAAUUACUGGGCGUAAAGCGUGCGCAGGCGGCUGUGCAAGACAGAGGUGAAAUCCCCGGGCUUAACCUGGGAACUGCCUUUGUGACUGCACGGCUAGAGUGUGUCAGAGGGGGGUAGAAUUCCACGUGUAGCAGUGAAAUGCGUAGAUAUGUGGAGGAAUACCGAUGGCGAAGGCAGCCCCCUGGGAUAACACUGACGCUCAUGCACGAAAGCGUGGGGAGCAAACAGG
rnacentral:rRNA from 1 species